ensembl:lncRNA
UCUCUCUCUCUCUCUCUCUCUCUCUCUCACACACACACACACACACACACACACACACACACACACUCACCAUCCCUCUGUGCCUCUCCUAACUGCACCAUCCUUCUCUUCUCUUCUGGUAGUGUUACUAUCGUAGUGCCCCUUAUCUCUCCACCUCUCAGAUGGUAUCUGCCCUCCCACCACUAUGUCUGCUUUUCUCCCUGCCAAUGUCACCCCUGCCCAGAAGGCUAGGAUUCUGCCCUUUGGGGACAUUCCAGGCAAAUGGGCCUUCACACCUCUCCUCUGCUUUGUCAUCCAGAGUGCCACCUGCCUGAUCACAGAGAAUCCUCAGGACUGCAGGGAUGAGACAUCCUGUGCAAAAGAGUUGGACCCACCAGAAUGCACAGAAGGUAGACUCUGCUCCACUUUUCCACCUGCUCCUUGUCCCCCUGGAACCUUCCUCUCUGGAGCGGGUUACCACAAUACCUCCUUCUGUGACCUCUGGCCUCCUGGGUUCUUCAAGCCCUGGCCUGGCCAGGAUGCCUGUUUCCCCUAUGGCUCAGAGGUCACCCAGCCAGAGAAGGAAAAGGACACCUGUGUCUGCCAUGGGCCUGGGAGAGUGUUCCAGCCCAGUGACAGUCAGUGCCCCUGCCUCCCAGGCUGCCAAGACAUUGGCAAGCCCAUGGGUUGUGUCCAGCGGGAACACAAAAGCUGCCAAGAUGGGGCCACUUGGAACCAGGAGGGCCUAUGUUUGACCAAAGAUCAGUGGACUGACCACUGUGCCCAUGAGGUGUGUGCCAUACCAAGAGAUGCCCAUGGCUAUGACCCAGACGUAGGACUCUGCUUGUGCUGGGGACAAUACUCAAGUGGAAUGUGUGGCCCCCUGUGCCUAGAAGAACAGAAACAUGUCCUGCAACUCAGCUGCCCUGAUGGCAUCCCACAGACUUUCAUCACUGAAGGUGUUGGGAGCCAGGGGCCACUUCUACAAUACACUGGAGCAGUUUGACUGGGGGUGCUUUUGGUUCCUGGCCGAGGAAUCUCCACUCUCUGAGCAAGGGACCCACCUCUUUCUGCAGCAGUUCCAGCUGCCUGGGGUCUACAUUUUUCAUCUGAGCAACAACCGGCAUUGGAAGAUGGUUUGUCUAUGAUGGUUUGCCUCGUUUGAGACCUUAUUCCUUUUCCUCCUCUUUAAAAAAAAUAAAACCACAUAAUAACCACCUUAGAUAGAUCUUCAGGCAAAUUAAUGCCCUAGAUGUCUCCACUUAAGUUUCAGGGUCUCACACUCCUAACAGAUGAUUCUGAGGACACCAAGCUUCCCUCCAUAGCAGCCCAAAAAGUGAUAUGCAAAAAGAGGAUUGUGAGGACAAAUACUCAAAUGUGCCUAAAGGAUAUCAGUGGUAACAAAUGGCUUAGGACCUCCGGUUCUCACAAGCCCUGUACUUUAUCUUCCCCUCCCACCCUUCUCCUAUCCUGAAGGCACAUAUCCCAAGACCAUCUACAUAAUAAUUUAUCUCUAUGACCCACACAUUAUGCCUCCACUGAUCCAGGUGCUUUGUCUACGUCACCCAAGGAACUUAAUAUAUUAGCCUAUUAGCAUGUCAUCUAAUAGGCUGUACUGACCUAGCCCUGGAAUAUAUAGUCAGCUCCCCCUAUAAAUAGUCAUUUGAUACAUAUGAGUUUCCCAGGAAAACCCAGAUUCCACACACCCCCACACACAGUCCCAGGUCUACACAACAAUCUGGACUAUUUGGUUAGUGUUGACAUGCCUGGAUUGCCACUCUGUCCUCUCGUAAGUCUCUGAUAGACAGACAAAGAAUGAACAGACUUCUUUCCAUGCAGUACCUCUGCACUCUUCCACCUGGGGGCCAAUGCUUUGGAGAUGGGCCUUUGCCUUCACAACCCCUAGGUAUCUCAUCCAGACUGGUAUCGUCAAGAUCCCCAGUGCCCUGAAGAGGUCUGACUGGCCAGAAGUCCUGGGGGAGAUCGUGCUGCUCCUGAGACUCUGCCUGGUUUUGUUGUUUCAGUAUCACCAGCUCAGCUGGGCUCGGAGGGCCACCCCUUAUCCAACCUACAGUAUCUAUCAGCAAGGAUACAACCUUGAUGCAUACACUUCUCCAAGAACUGGGAUGAUUUCAGUAAGAAGAGGCCAAUCUCAACAAGAUUCUGAUGCUCCCAGACAUGAGGGAGGCCAUGGUUGGAGUUAGGAGGCUGAGAAGCAGGUGGACAUGGAGUGGUUUGACACAGAAGCCUUCUUUGAGAUCCUGCUCCUGAUCACUGCUCUGGCAGUGACAACCAAACUCAGCCAAACCAAGGAGGAGGUUGCUGAGGUUGUUGCCAGGGCAGCAGAGGAAGAGGCCAGGCAGAGGGCACACCUGGCACCUGAAUAUGCAGCAAGCCUUAGUCACCAGCUGAAGAUCCUUCACCAAGACCUCCGGGCCAGGCAGGAGCAGUGGGCCUCUUUCUGCUCAGCACUGAUGGAGGCUAUGCGGUUGCUGAAGGCACUGACAGGCUCCAGGCCACAGAAUUCC